rnacentral:rRNA from 1 species
CCAGCACCUCAAGUGGUCAGGAUGAUUAUUGGGCCUAAAGCAUCCGUAGCCGGCGCUGUAAGUUUUCGGUUAAAUCUGUACGCUCAACGUACAGGCUGCCGGGAAUACUGCAGCGCUAGGGAGUGGGAGAGGUAGACGGUACUCGGUAGGAAGGGGUAAAAUCCUUUGAUCUAUUGAUGACCACCUGUGGCGAAGGCGGUCUACCAGAACACGUCCGACGGUGAGGGAUGAAAGCUGGGGGAGCAAACCGGAUUAGAUACCCGCGUAGUCC